rnacentral:rRNA from 1 species
AGACGUCUACAUUAGAUACCCCGGUAGUCCCAGCCGUAAACUAUGCGCGUUAGGUGUAUCGGUGACCACGAGUUACCGAGGUGCCGAAGGGAAACCGUGAAACGUGCCGCCUGGGAAGUACGGUCGCAAGGCUGAAACUUGAAGGAAUUGGCGGGGGAGCACCACAACAGGUGGAGCCUGCGGUUUAAUUGGACUCAACGCCGGGAAGCUCACCGGAUAGGACAGCAGAAUGAUUGCCGGGCUGAAGACCCUGCAUGACUAGCUG